rnacentral:piRNA from 1 species
AGAAGCCGCAGUACUGUACAAGA